rnacentral:rRNA from 1 species
CAGUAGCCGCGGUAAAACGGAGGGUGCAAGCGUUAAUCGGAAUUACUGGGCGUAAAGCGCACGCAGGCGGUCUGUCAAGUCAGAUGUGAAAUCCCCGGGCUUAACCUGGGAACUGCAUUUGAAACUGGCAGGCUAGAGUCUUGUAGAGGGGGUAGAAUUCCAGGUGUAACGGUGAAAUGCGUAGAGAUCUGGAGGAAUACCGGUGGCGAAGGUGGCCCCCUGGACAAAGACUGACGCUCAGGUGCGAAAGCGUGGGGAGCAAACAGGAUUAGAUACCCCAGUAGUCCCUGUCUCUUAUACC